rnacentral:rRNA from 1 species
AUUGAACGCUGGCGGCAGGCCUUACACAUGCAAGUCGAACGGCAGCACGGUUGGUUGUUCCUGUUGGCGAGUGGCGGUCGGGUGAGUAAUACAUCUGCACCUGUCUUUUAUUUUGCGUGAGGGCUCCGGAAGCCGGAUUAACACUCCUUCCGAUCCACACCUACGAGCGAGGGACGUUCGUUUCUGGACCUUUCGGGCUGGCCGUGGGCGGAUUCGCUAGUUGGGGGGGUAAAGGCCUACCAAGGCGACGAUGAGGAGCUGGUCUGAGAGGACGACCAGCCACACUGGAACUGAGACACGGCCCAGACUCCUACGGGAGGCAGCAGUGGGGAAUUUUGGACAAUGGGCGAAAGCCUGAUCCAGCAAUGCCGCGUGUGUGAAGAAGGCCUUCGGGUUGUAAAGCACUUUUGUUGGGAAAGAAAUGCUUGGCCCUAAUACGGUCGGGGGAUGACGGUACCGGAAGAAUAAGCACCGGCUAACUACGUG